GUACCUACUACUCUGCUGUAGUAUAAAAACUACUGUACGUUUAAAGCGAAUUAAAUAGAAUGGGCAAUAUGGAGAUGGAGGUGUUUAGUAGAGAAAGAGAAGAGAUGAGGACCUUAACCAGCUAACAUAAUACCAGCACGACACAGCAGACACAAUCAACACUUACACACCAAUGACUAUAAGUAUAAAACAGUACAGACUACAGGGAGUACAGUAACCAGCAUGAACCAGCACUUGCGCCAAGCGACAGUGUUUUAAUGUUAAUGUUAAUAUAUAACUGAGUAAAACUAUAAAAUCAAGAUCAAGACACUUGGAACGUUUCGCUUCGAUGGCAACUCCAAAACAUAACUUGUAUUUUUAAAUCUACUUAACUUUUUAUUUUAUUUUUUAAGGCACUAGCCCACGUACCAGCGGAGAGAAGUUUUAUGAAAUUUUAUGACGAUGAUUAAUUUUGUUAAGAUUAAUUGAGGAAAUAAAAAUAGUCAGGAAUUCGCAACCUGGA